rnacentral:lncRNA from 1 species
UGAAAAGUAAAUUCAAAUCAAAUGUUUCAUGAAGCUUGGAAAAAGACAUGGAUCAGAAGAGUGAGAUAAUACUGAGUGUAUUGAAGGACAAAGUGAAUCAAGAGGAAGAUACAUGCAGAAAAAAAGUAGAUGGCAAAAGAAAGAAGCACCUGAACAGAGAAUGGUGAAAGGAAUGGACUUGCCACAGACUGAUAAGUAUUCAGAAUUCUCCCAGGAGAUUACUAGAGGAAUAAAAGCUUCUGUCAUUCAAUCGUCUCCAUUUAUGUCAACAACAGAAAAAAAUGUGUCGACAAGUGUUUCAUCAUAUGAACAACUUUUUUAUAAACUGAUGGACAGUUAACUGUCAACUCUGAAGAUUAAUCCAUGUGAGUCUCUGAAAAUUUUUGGGUACAGUACUACCAUCAGAGGGAGAAGACAUGUUAGUUCUUCGGUACCUUUUCUGUUUAAAAAGUAAAACUGGAAAAGUUUCACAGCUCCCAAACUCUC